ACACAGAGAGAGACGGAGGUGCACGAGACCAUCGCUGAUUUUCACCGCCAAGCUUGUUGCUGGAAAAUAACUAUUAAUUUGAUAAAUUGAGCAAAUAUCCAUACCGGAGAUCUGCAUGGACCUUGGAGAAACGGACCUGAUUUGUUGUGAACAUUUUGGACUUUGAAACCAUCUCAAUCUGCACGGGUGCGGAUGAAGCGGACAAGAUCCUCUCUGAGAGUUGAACAUUAGAAGUGUGCUGGCUAGGUUUUUUCGUGGGAUCGUGAGACCUGGAUUUCUUCCUGACGAGGAAGAUGCCGAGCCUUUCCCUUUGAACCGAACCACAGCCAUUCCGAGUUGGCCCAGAAGGGCAGGUUGCUCUUCUUUCACGAACAAUUGCAACAGUGCGGUAGGACGAAAUCGCACCAGUCACAGACUUUUGACCUAUUGGAUUUGACUUGACUGAAUACUCACUAUUAAGCCGGCAAGACUGACAUAUCUGAGCUCAGAUAGGAUUCUGAUUGUUAUUAUUAAUGCUGUCACUGUACUUUAUUUUAUGUUUUCAUUCCUGUUUAUGAAGUGCUGUUAAAUUGUUUCUAAAUAGUUUAAUACAAUUCAAAGCAACUUUACCUGUGGCUCCACUCAUUCUUCUCCACGCAACUCACUUUAUCCCUCCUACGAAUCUAGCUAUUGGCCCAUUCUCUCCAUCUUGCUUUAACUUCCCCUACCCUAUCCUGUACUUGGCUACAUUGUCAUGUCAUGAUUGUCACACAUCUAAAAUAGC
ensembl:lncRNA